UACGUAGGGUGCAAGCGUUAAUCGGAAUUACUGGGCGUAAAGCGUGCGCAGGCGGUUGUGCAAGUCAGAUGUGAAAUCCCCGGGCUCAACCUGGGAAUUGCAUUUGUGACUGCACGGCUAGAGUGUGUCAGAGGGGGGUAGAAUUCCACGUGUAGCAGUGAAAUGCGUAGAGAUGUGGAGGAAUACCGAUGGCGAAGGCAGGUCUCUGGGCUAUAACUGACGCUCAUGCACGAAAGCGUGGGGAGCAAACAGG
rnacentral:rRNA from 1 species